AUCGAUGCUCCAAUCCCCUGCUCUCAUUUCCUGCCCAAUCCCCGUUUCUCCUCUCUCCUCCAGUCCUCCUCUCCAAUGGUGGUGCGCCGCAUCUCCUUGGGAUGGAGCCAGACGGUGACGACCAUGGUGGCAGGUCGGAGAAGACGAUGCAGGAGACCGCACGAAGGCGGGCGGCGGCACGGAGAGGCCACGCGAUGCCUUGCCGCGCCUUGAGAAGCCCGUCCACAACCGGCUCCUGGCGGAGCUCGCUCGCGCCGGAGGUCGCCUGCCCGGUCUCUGGUGGAGGUCGCCCACGCCGGCCCCUGGCAAAGGGAGCCCGCGCCACCGCGGCGUCCCUGGCGGCGGUGCAUCUAGGGGAAAGGCGCUUGAGCGCCGGCGGCGGCAGGGAGCAGUGACGCCGGCGGCUGGAGGCGGCAGGGAUCAGCGAGUACGACGGCUGGACGCAGCACCCGUAGUGACAGGCCGCGCGUGGCGGCGCAUCUGGCGAAACUGGUCGGAGUUGGAGCAGACAGCUCAGGAAGGUUGGGGAGGGACCAGGAGAAGGCACGCGGGGCUGGGCUGGCCUGGUUCGUGGCCGACACCAGCCACAACUAGGGUUUACGCCAUAAAGAGGAGAGCUACGGGCUGUCGUCGUUGUCCUCGGCAGGCGGUGGUCGUCGGUGACGGGAGACGUCUCAGGUCUGGGGGAGCCAUGGCUAGCCCCAACCCGUUUAUCUCUCAUUAACCUGGAACUGCUACUUUGGUCCAUCUCUUCCUCCUGCUCAACAGCUGAAGCACACACAACCAGUGCAGAACCGUUCUGCCAGAACGCCUGCCUAACCUCGCCAUAUUUGGCCCUCUCAUAAGACUUGUUUUCUCUAUGCCUACAAGGUGGUUGAUGAAAUUCCAAGAAGGAUCUGGGGAUGGAUUGAUCUAGGCAAGCCAUGUGAUUUACAGCCAGCUUCAAAUCAUCAGCAACUUCCCAGGUAUAAUGGUUCCAGAGUUCUUCUAUUCUUGUUAAUCAGCGGUGGCAGUGGGUGGAUGACAGUGGCUUCAUCUGAUGGAUGGUGGUGGCUGCCAAGCAACCGGCAGUAGGUACAAGCUCGUGUUGUCAUGGUAGUGCAGCGUGGCCGCAUCAUUGAGAUUUUGAUAUGGAACUGCUGGAUUGGAUACAACAUGGUCAUUCAUGUGGUGGAGAGGGAGUCCUGGAGGUCAUCGUCAACCAGAGAUUGCUAAUGUUCUUUCCUGAGGCAAACGAGGUUACUAUUGCAAGACAUACAACCUUUGAGGAUGUUCAUGAAGGGGAUUAUCUAACAAAACCAUCCUUAUUCAAAGAUUCUGGUGUUACAACAAAGGUCAAAAUGGCAGCCCACCUACAGCCCAGUGACGAUAUAUUUCUUGUGGCUUAUCCCUACUUCAAUGUCAAUGGCGUGUCCUACAUCCUGAUACUUAUGCAUACCCACAGCCACAUCCAAGCGGCCAGCGAAGCUGGAGCUAGAGCGCACGCCAAGUGACGGCGGCGGCCGGACGCGGCAGUGGCGGUAGGCAGCUUGCGCCAAGCGAUGGGGCGGGUGGAUGCCGUAGCAGCGGCUCCCCCUCCCCCUUCUCUUAAUCUCUCUCUAAUGGGCACUUGUUGAUUGUUGUGCUCAUGGAAGUUGGAGUAUCGGAUCCACGAAAUCUCGAGAUAAGUUUACUAACUUGCCAAUCAUUUGAGUGCAUGCCUCUAUUCCAGUGUUUCUCUUCAUAAGUGUUGCCUGUCAAGUCUCCACCUGAGUCAUCCAUGACAGUCUGGAAAGGGAUUACAUGGAAUGAUAUUUGGUUACUGCGCAUUUGUCAUGCUGAACUUGAUUCCCAGAAAAUGGUGUUUGGUUUCUUGUUUUCCGGGGUGUUCAUUUUCAGAAGUUUCAUGUUGAUUUAUAUUUUAGAUCAAAACUAAAAAUUUGUUGCACUGGUUCAGGAUAGUUUGCAAGGUUCAGUACAGAUUACAAGGAAUUUCGAAAUGAUAUAAUGAGGCUUAUGCUAGGGCAUGCAGACCACCUUUACCACUGAAUCUUUGCCUGGGAGAUAUCAAAUGAACUUACCCAAUUAACGUUUUAUUAAAAAAUUACCUAAUUACAUUUAUACUAAUUGACACACGUCUAAUAUAUAUCCUAAAGAUCUGUAAGCCUACCACUAAGAUAACGUGCCACAUUCUAGACCAAGGUGGACCAGCUGCUCGCUCAUAACGGUUAGGUGCCUGCCUUUUCUUCUUCUUAUUCUUCACUCGAGAAUCAUUGCUUGUAUGGCCUUGGCUUCUUGCACUGGGAAAGGUUUGCAUUCAGAGAACCCUUAAAUUUGUAGUCCUGUUUGACCUGGCUUUUCACAAAGUUUAGACAUUGUACUAUCUCGUUUUUAGUGGCAGGCAUCCGCAACGUCCAACUGUGGCAAGCAGGUUGUGUACAAAGUGUGCAUUGUACUUUUUACUCUUUUGGUCCUCAUCAAAACUGAUGGUGGUUCCUCUCUCCUUGUUUCCGUUCAUGGUAAAAACGAUACUUAGUUUUGUUUAAUGGUUUGAUCUCCUUUUUGGUUGUAUAUGUUGGUGCAAUUUAUUGUUUAAAACUUGAAAUAUCUUAGAUAGAAAUUGAGGCCUGCUUUUCCUUGCUUAUGUUGAUGUAGAGUCCCUUUUCACACUGACUUCCCUUUUCACCAAUGGAAAUGUAUUUAAAUAUAUUACUCUUAAUAUAUCUGCUUGUUUAUUUGAAGUAUGAUUUCAGGACAACAAAGAAUGGUGACAUGGAGAUUACUCGUCUAAUAUAUUUUGGGAAGAAGUAUUUGCAUUGGAUGGUCCUGACAACAUUUGGAUACAUGACUUAUACAUUCCCUUGCUCCUGUUGCGGUGUACUCGAUUUGCUCAUCAAACUAUCCUGCAAGAACCUGCUGCGUUACUGGUGAAACACAUUGAUGAAAUACAUCGCCCCAAUUCUGAGAUGCAUGAGCAUGUCAUUGGACUACCAUGAUUUGUUGGUAUUAUUUGGAAGAGGCGUGUUUUAUCCAAUAGGUAUAAUAUAUUUUACUUGUAUUUUUCUGAAGAUUAUUGUAGUGAAGCCGUUUGUUAAAAGUAUUCAGUAUUUACAACCCAUGGCAUGUCCCAUCUUAAGCCCCCUCGAACUGGCUUGUAAUCACACUCUAGACUGGUGUAUCGGCAUUUGCCGUGAACUUUUACUCAAUCUAUAUAAUUCAUUAGUUCCAUUUCAGCUUUCAAAACAUUUGUUGGCUAUUUAAAACUUUGGCAAAGCCCCUUCUCACAUAUAAUGGCUGGAAGUGUUAGAGGGUAUCACGGCACUACAACUAAGCAUCACAGAGUGUUGAGUACAUUGAUUAUGAUUAGAAGAAUUUUAAGAUAAAUAUGGUAGCGUCUUACCAAUCAUGUGGCAUUAGCUAUUUUUUUGUCCAUUUCUUUUUGCUAGCCAUUUAUCUCUCCCCUACAGUGUAAUUUUUGUAUUGUUUGUAUCACAAAUAUGAAAUUAGCACAUGAUAAUGAUGUGUUUGAAGAAAAACACAUGCUACAGUUAGUAAACCAGAGGUGAGGGAGGCUAUUUCGAAUACUGUGGUCGAGCGCUCGAGACUUCGAUUAUGGAGGCCAAAUAUUGUGUCAUGUUCUGUUAUUAUAUAGAGCUAGCUAGCUUAAAUUCAAUGGUUGACAGGUGAGCAGGCAAAGAGUGUAAUGAUAUUCUUGGGAUGGAGAGGGGGCAGAACUAGGUGUGGAUUUUCAAGUAGUAAUCAAUCUUGGGCCAUUCAUGCAGUUGCUUCCAUUGUACCAUGCAUGACAAAUUUAGAGUAAAUAAUCUUGGGUUGGAAUUGAUGACUGCUACAGACAGAUGAAAGGGUUACCGUGCAUAGCACUGUGCUUGGUUUACCUUGGGCUCAUCAUCAAGGAUGAUGGCAGCAGUCGAGCACUCGGGCCUGAUCCGGAGGCGGUGCUGUCAGCGAGUCUCCGCCGGAGGAGGUUCCGAUAAAUGUUUGUCUGUCUGCCGAGUGAUAUUGAAACUUGAAUUUUCAAGUUUGGUGGUUGUGGGUGCUUAUCAGUGAUCUAUGCCUUGAAUCCGUAAAGCAUAUUCUUUUGCAAGUAAAGUAACUGGGGAUACUCCCAUAUUUUAUUAAUUUCCAUCCAAUUAUUUGUUGUAUUCUAAUUUAGUUUUGCAGAUUGAGCUAGAAUUAAUAGUCUAUCACCAAACCUGAGUUUUGGAGCAUGUUUGUUGCUGGCAAGACCAAAACAUGAUUCAAAUAAAACUGUAAACUAACUUACAGAUAACCUCCUUUAUUUGGGAGCUCUCUCACAAUUUCUUUAUUGCUUUGGAAACUCAAGUUGUAAGUGCAUAGUUAUUUACUGGUGAAAGAAAUUUUGGUCUUCCUUCAGAUUUCUUUUUUGCUUUCUCACUAAUUAUGUCAUGCCUUACAUCAUGGUACUUCUGCUAGGUCUUCUAGGAAUAAAUCUACAUUACAUUAUUUACAAGUGGCUAUUAAUUAAUAUCGUGUACCACUGUUGAGUCUGAAUUAUAGUCAGAUCCAAAUGCAUUGUUUCUUGUUACCGUUUUGAUGCCCCUGUUUUUUUACGGCUUGCAGACAUUAUAAUUCCAUUGGUUUACCCCAUUAGGAGUUAUUGAUUCGGCAAAAGUACUGUUUGGUCCUUCUCUUGUAUUCAUGUGCCCUGGUACGUUAUCCAUCGAACAGCAACAUCAAAGAUGUCCAGGAUUCAUCCGUGCCGAGAGCUCUUCUCCUGGUUUGAUCUGGAGAGGUAUUUUUUUCAAAAUGGGAGUCUAGAGAGCUUGGUUCAAAUGUAAUUGAUGAUCCAAGUGAACCACCCACACCAUCUACCACAGCUUCAACAGAUAAGAGGUGAUAAGAUUGGGCGAGAUUGAAGAGAUCAUGAGAAACAUUAUGAAUAUUACUGCACCACUCUUCACCUUCAACUGCGACCUCGCUGAACUCAGAGGGAAAUGGACUUCCUUUGAUGACAUUAUGACAAACUAUUGUUUUCCCACUCUAUAAAGCUUUUCAGCACAGAAAUAGAACACCGCAUAAUAGUUGAUGUGCCAUUGUGGCAUUGGCAUCAUGGCGAACGGCAGGCCGAGGCACUGCUGGUGUCGGAUGCCGCGGAGACUACCCUUGGUGGGCGGCGGUUUUCUUUAUUUCUGCCAGUGUUCUACGCUAGAGAAAGGAAAACUCUCCCAGUUGGCGUUUCCUCCAUCGAAUAAAGCCAUUAUCAAGACAUCAACACUCACCUGUCAUGAGACUUCAUCCAUCUCCAUAGUCAUCGACAAGCCUCCUAGCUGCACUCCACCCUCAAGAUUCAACAUGCUAAGCCGAUACAGAAUUCUCCCGUGUAUAUAAGAAGAUAGAACGAGUCCACAACUACUGAAGAUGAUGUCAGGUCCAAGGAGGAUACAUAGGUUACCACCAAAGACAUCAGCUCAGCAGUGGGCGAUGUCGAUGAUGACAUGGGAUCCCUAGAUCCAGGCAUUGUAGAUUCCGAUGGCAUCACUGCUAAUAAACUGUUGGUGGAGCGCGAGGGGUACGAAGAGGUCAAGCUCGAGAAGGACCAUGCCGCGAAGGAGAUGAAAGCCCCUAAGACGAAGAUGGCAGCUUUGAGUGAUGCUUUGAAGGCAGUGGACAUCGGGAUGGAAGAGUUGGAGUCGAGUGUGAAGAAUAAUGCACAAGCUACGCAUCAUAUAGUGAAUGCACCAUGGUGACUGUCAACAAUAUUUGCACGGCUUCAGUAACAUAUUUUUGUUUCUGUGUUGAGAACAUCUUCGGGGACAUUUUUGUUUUGGUUUGAGAACAACUUCAGUUACUAUGAUAUUUCUUGCUCUAAAAGCACAUGGUUAGCGGUUCAUGUACUGAUCAUUUCAUUUGCGCGGUACCGCAACGGGUAAUUUAGAGGAUACUUAAUAAGCCUCAUAUUUGAUAUGUAUAUAGCAAGUAAGACAUGAAAAUCAUGUAUAUUAGCAUCUAUUGGCAUAUUAUUAAUAUGUUUUUCA